rnacentral:rRNA from 1 species
AACGAACGCUGGCGGCAUGCCUAACACAUGCAAGUCGAACGAGACCUUCGGGUCUAGUGGCGCACGGGUGCGUAACGCGUGGGAACCUGCCUUUAGGUUCGGAAUAACUCAGAGAAAUUUGAGCUAAUACCGGAUGAUGUCUUCGGACCAAAGAUUUAUCGCCUUUAGAUGGGCCCGCGUUGGAUUAGCUAGUUGGUGGGGUAAAGGCCUACCAAGGCGACGAUCCAUAGCUGGUCUGAGAGGAUGAUCAGCCACACUGGGACUGAGACACGGCCCAGACUCCUACGGGAGGCAGCAGUGGGGAAUAUUGGACAAUGGGCGAAAUCCUGAUCCAGCAAUGCCGCGUGAGUGAUGAAGGCCGUAGGGUUGUAAAGCUCUUUUACCCGAGAUGAUAAUGACAGUAGCGGGAGAAUAAGCUCCGGCUAACUCCGUG